CAACAGGUGCACACUCUGAGCCCCAAGGGAAGGGGCUGCACUCCACCUCCCUGCCCCGCUUGUUCUAUGUGUGUCCCUACAAGAAUACUCACCUCUUGCCUUCAGGUGGCAUUUUUCAAUGACGCGGGAGCCAGUGCCCAGGAAGAGCAAAGGGUGUGCUGCCAGCCCCUGGCUCACCCAGUGGCUUCAUCCCAAAGGACCCCAGGGACUGGGGAGUGACUUUAUGGAGGACAAAGUGGACCUGAAGGAGCCGGUGGAGUAACUAGAGCUUCGAUUCAUCCACCUCUCGGGACAGACACCAUAAGUGAGCGGGAGGCCAGGGUACGGCAGCGGGAGCUGCUGGGCUGUCAGAGGGCCCCAGCCUCUGAGCUCUGUCCUCCC
rnacentral:lncRNA from 1 species